CAAUAGCGUAUAUUAAAGUUGUUGCGGUUAAAAGCUCGUAGUUGGACUUCUGCUGAGGACGAUUGGUCCGCCCUCUGGGUGAGUAUCUAAUCGGCCUGAGCAUCUUCCUGGAGAGCGUGGUUGCGCUUGAAUGUGUGACGCGGUAUCCAGGACGUUUACUUUGAGGAAAUUCGAGUGUUUUAAGCAGGCGUACGUAUUGAACACAUUAGCAUGGCAUAAUAACAUAAGAUCUCGGUUCCUUGUUUUGUUGGUUUCUUGGAUUGAGGUAAUGAUCGACAGGGAUAGUUGGGGGCAUCUGUAUUUAAUUGCUAGAGGUGAAAUUCUAUUAUUUGUUAAAGACAAACUACUGCGACAGCAUUUGCCAAACAUAUUCUCAUUGAUCAAGAACGAAAGUUAGGGGAUCGAAGACGAUCAGAU
rnacentral:rRNA from 1 species